CAUUUGGAGGUAUGAAGAGAUCUUGGAAAUAGAGGCCAUGUGUAUUGAAACAAGACCAAACAACUCCAAGUUCCUGAAGACUUCAUUUCACCAACCCAGAACCUCCUUGAUCAUCACAGUGUUCAAAUGGUUUCCAGCAAUAUUCCUACCACCUACUUUGCUGACACAAAGGUGCAUAAACUGAAGUCCUAUGUGGUCGAACCAUUUUACGUUUUCACCAGCAAUGAAGGAGGGUUCCUGUUGCUCUACUAUUUGGUACUGUCAGUGUUUUGGAUAUUAGCCAUCUUAAUAGCCUUCGCAUGGAUGAUUGUCUGUCCUCUGUUGGGCCCCUUCUGAAGAGUUGGAGUUGGCUUUAUACAAUUAUUCCCAAAUCUUCUAAACUGACAGUGAGGGAGAGUAAUUUGAAAGGACUGAUCAACUCAACAUCAUUUGAAGAUUUGCGCCAUAGCUGCAUUUUUCCAAUUUCCUGGCAUCUAUUCUGCUCUCCUGGACUUUUCAAAAACAAUUGUAAGUGGAUGAAUAAAUUUAAUAACUCAUUCCACUGAUACUCUUGGACCAUCCUUUGGACUUUCUGCUUUUGGACAUUUUACAGUUUAAAAUUUAUUUAGCAUCUAUCAAUGUUUCCCAAAGAAGGACUCAAAGUACACAUUGUCAAAGAUCUCAUGGAUCUAAUUAAGGACAGGGAAUAGGUACAGAGUCAUACAUUGUCUCUAAACAGAGGGGAUAAUUUCUGAAGGAAAGAAG
rnacentral:lncRNA from 1 species